GCUAGCGUAGCUUAAUCAAAGCAUAACACUGAAGAUGUUAAGAUGAACCCUGAAAAGUUCCGAAAGCA
rnacentral:tRNA from 1 species